rfam:Oryza glumipatula chromosome 10, whole genome shotgun sequence.
AAAAAGGAUUUCGGGGUCCAACGGGUUGACCAUCCGUCUUAUUUGAAAAAAUUAUAAAAAAAAUUAAAAAAAAAGUCAUGCAUAAAGUAUUAAUCAUGUUUUAUCAUCUAACAAUAAUAAAAAUACUAAUUAUAAAAAAAUUUCAUAUAAGACGAACAGUCAAAUGUUGGACACGAAAAUCUAGGGUUUGUCUUUUU